GUAUAGCAUCAAGAACGCAAUGCGUACCAACCGACACACUCGAUGCACGGUGGUUUAGAAUGUGGAGAUAUUUCUCAAAGAUUCGAGUAAUCUU
rnacentral:ncRNA from 1 species